AAAAUGUUGUAAAUCAAUCCUUAAUGAGUUUGCUUUUAGGCUGAAUCUAACGAGUCCUAAAUACACAACUAUCCAACAGGAUAAGCUGCACCCAGUUUAUCUAUCUUCAUUGGUUUUCGAUGGUGAAACUUAUCGUGGCAGAGUUUGCCGAAGCAAGAAAGAAGCAGAACAGUUAGUCGCACAGAUCGCCAUCGAGUCUCGUCUUGGAUCUGAUUCAGGCAUUCUUCUUCAAAUAAUCAAUUCCAAAAACAAAGCUCAUAACGAUAAAAACAAGAUUAAUGGCAAUAGCAACAUCAGUCAGAUCAACACUCAAAGACCAGGAUCAUCAGAAGAACCUGCUGUUAAUGUAUCUGGUCCAAGUGAUAAUGCUGAUGAUCGUAACAAGAAGCGGAAACUGCAGGGCGAGAGUUGGCAUCAGAAACAAAUGCGAUAUAAUCAGCAGUAAAUUUAUGCAGAAAUAUGGUGUGCAAUCUGCAUCAAGUAGGAAAA